GAUGAACGCUAGCGGCAGGCUUAAUACAUGCAAGUCGAGGGGCAGCAUAAGUAGCAAUACUUGAUGGCGACCGGCAAACGGGUGCGGAACACGUACGCAACCUUCCUUUAAGUGGGGAAUAGCCCGGGGAAACCCGGAUUAAUACCCCGUAAUAUUAUGAUGUGGCAUCACAUUAUAAUUAUAGAUUCAUCGCUUAAAGAUGGGCGUGCGCCUGAUUAGGUAGUUGGCGGAGUAAUAGCCCACCAAGCCUGCGAUCAGUAACUGGUGUGAGAGCACGACCAGUCACACGGGCACUGAGACACGGGCCCGACUCCUACGGGAGGCAGCAGUAAGGAAUAUUGGUCAAUGGGACGCAAGUCUGAACCAGCCAUGCCGCGUGGAGGAUGAAGGUCCUC
rnacentral:rRNA from 1 species